GAUGAAGAACGUAGCGAAAUGCGAUACUUGGUGUGAAUUGCAGAAUCCCGUGAACCAUCGAGUCUUUGAACGCAAGUUGCGCCUCAAGCCAUUAGGUUGAGGGCACGUCUGCCUGGGCGUCACAUAUCGUUGCCUGAUGCCAGUUUCCUCGUGAUGGGUGACUGUGCAGGGCGAAUGAUGGCUUCCCGUGAGCAUUGUUGCCUCAUGGUUGGUUGAAAAUUGAGUCCUUGGUAGGGAGCGCCGUGAUAGAUGGUGGUUGAGUGACAAACGAGACCCAAUCAUGUGAGACCCCUACCGAAUUUGGCCUUCAUGACCCACAUGCGUCUUUGGAACGCUCAUGACGAGACCUCAGGUCAGGCGGGGCUACCCGCUGAGUUUAAGCAUAUAAUAAGCGGAGGA
rnacentral:misc_RNA from 1 species